GGCUGAAAUCUUAGGCAAAUCCGGGAUUUCAAGGCCGAGAGCUGAUGACGAGUUGCCUUUAGGNGACGAAGUGGUUGAUACCAUGCUUCCAAGAAAAGCUCCUAAGCUUCAGAUAACUGGGAACCGUACCCCAAACCGACACAGGUGGUUAGGUAGAGAAUACCAAGGCGCUUGAGAGAACUCGGGUGAAGGAACUAGGCAAAAUGGCACCGUAACUUCGGGAGAAGGUGCGCCGGCGAGGGUGAAGGACUUGCUCCGUAAGCCCAUGCCGGUCGAAGAUACCAGGCCGCUGCGACUGUUUAUUAAAAACACAGCACUCUGCAAACACGAAAGUGGACGUAUAGGGUGUGACGCCUGCCCGGUGCCGGAAGGUUAAUUGAUGGGGUUAGCGCAAGCGAAGCUCUUGAUCGAAGCCCCGGUAAACGGCGGCCGUAACUAUAACGGUCCUAAGGUAGCGAAAUUCCUUGUCGGGUAAGUUCCGACCUGCACGAAUGGCGUAACGAUGGCGGCGCUGUCUCCACCCGAGACUCAGUGAAAUUGAAAUCGCUGUGAAGAUGCAGUGUAUCCGCGGCUAGACGGAAAGACCCCGUGAACCUUUACUAUAGCUUUGCACUGGACUUUGAAUUUGCUUGUGUAGGAUAGGUGGGAGGCUUUGAAGUGGGGACGCCAGUUCUCAUGGAGCCAUCCUUGAAAUACCACCCUGGCAACUUUGAGGUUCUAACUCAGGUCCGUUAUCCGGAUCGAGGACAGUGUAUGGUGGGUAGUUUGACUGGGGCGGUCUCCUCCCAAAGAGUAACGGAGGAGUACGAAGGUGCGCUCAGACCGGUCGGAAAUCGGUCGUAGAGUAUAAAGGCAAAAGCGCGCUUGACUGCGAGACAAACACGUCGAGCAGGUACGAAAGUAGGUCUUAGUGAUCCGGUGGUUCUGUAUGGAAGGGCCAUCGCUCAACGGAUAAAAGGUACUCCGGGGAUAACAGGCUGAUACCGCCCAAGAGUUCAUAUCGACGGCGGUGUUUGGCACCUCGAUGUCGGCUCAUCACAUCCUGGGGCUGAAGCCGGUCCCAAGGGUAUGGCUGUUCGCCAUUUAAAGUGGUACGCGAGCUGGGUUUAGAACGUCGUGAGACAGUUCGGUCCCUAUCUGCCGUGGACGUUUGAGAUUUGAGAGGGGCUGCUCCUAGUACGAGAGGACCGGAGUGGACGAACCUCUGGUGUUCCGGUUGUCACGCCAGUGGCAUUGCCGGGUAGCUAUGUUCGGAAGAGAUAACCGCUGAAAGCAUCUAAGCGGGAAACUUGCCUCAAGAUGAGAUCUCACUGGGAUCUUGAAUCCCCUAAAGGGCCGUCGAAGACUACGACGUUGAUAGGUUGGGUGUGUAAGCGCUGUGAGGCGUUGAGCUAACCAAUACUAAUUGCCCGUGAGGCUUGACCAU
rnacentral:rRNA from 1 species